rnacentral:rRNA from 1 species
GACGUAGGGCGCGAGCGUUGUCCGGAUUUAUUGGGCGUAAAGGGCGCGUAGGCGGCUCGGCACGUCCGUUGUGAAAUCGCCCGGCUCAACUGGGCGGGGUCAGCGGAUACGGCCGAGCUGGAGCAAGCUAGGGGGUAAUGGAAUUCCCGGUGUAGUGGUGGAAUGCGUAGAUAUCGGGGAGGAACACCAGUGGCGAAGGCGGUUACCUGGAGCUUUGCUGACGCUGAUGCGCGAAAGCGUGGGGAGCGAUCCGG